UACGAAGGGGCUAGCGUUGCUCGGAAUCACUGGGCGUAAAGGGUGCGUAGGCGGGUCUUUAAGUCAGGGGUGAAAUCCUGGAGCUCAACUCCAGAACUGCCUUUGAUACUGAAGAUCUUGAGUUCGGGAGAGGUGAGUGGAACUGCGAGUGUAGAGGUGAAAUUCGUAGAUAUUCGCAAGAACACCAGUGGCGAAGGCGGCUCACUGGCCCGAUACUGACGCUGAUGCACGAAAGCGUGGGAGCAACAGG
rnacentral:rRNA from 1 species